rnacentral:rRNA from 1 species
UACGGAGGGAGCUAGCGUUAUUCGGAAUUACUGGGCGUAAAGGGUGCGUAGGCGGGUCUUUUAAGUCAGGGGUGAAAUCCUGGAGCUCAACUCCAGAACUGCCCUUUGAUACUGAAGAUCUUGAGUUCGGGAGAGGUGAGUGGAACUGCGAGUGUAGAGGUGAAAUUCGUAGAUAUUCGCAAGAACACCAGUGGCGAAGGCGGCUCACUGGCCCGAUACUGACGCUGAGGCACGAAAGCGUGGGGAGCAAACAGGG